UACGUAGGGAGCAAGCGUUGUCCGGAAUCAUUGGGCGUAAAGCGCGCGUAGGCGGCUCGAUACGUCCGCUGUAAAAGUCAACGGCUCAACUGUUGAAAGCCGGUGGAUACUGUCGGGCUAGAGUACGGAAGAGGCAAGUGGAAUUCCUGGUGUAGCGGUGGAAUGCGCAGAUAUCAGGAGGAACACCUAUAGCGAAGGCAGCUUGCUGGGACGUUACUGACGCUAAGGCGCGAAAGCGUGGGGAGCGAACAGG
rnacentral:rRNA from 1 species